GCCAGCAUAGUGUUGCGGUUUGAGUGUUGGACUGAGACUCUGGAGACCAGGGUUCGAUUCCCAUCUUGGCC